CUACGGGUUGCUGCAGUGGGGAAUAUUGCACAAUGGGCGCAAGCCUGAUGCAGCCAUGCCGCGUGUAUGAAGAAGGCCUUCGGGUUGUAAAGUACUUUCAGCGGGGAGGAAGGGAGUAAAGUUAAUACCUUUGCUCAUUGACGUUACCCGCAGAAGAAGCACCGGCUAACUCCGUGCCAGCAGCCGCGGUAAUACGGAGGGUGCAAGCGUUAAUCGGAAUUACUGGGCGUAAAGCGCACGCAGGCGGUUUGUUAAGUCAGAUGUGAAAUCCCCGGGCUCAACCUGGGAACUGCAUCUGAUACUGGCAAGCUUGAGUCUCGUAGAGGGGGGUAGAAUUCCAGGUGUAGCGGUGAAAUGCGUAGAGAUCUGGAGGAAUACCGGUGGCGAAGGCAGCCCCCUGGACGAAGACUGACGCUCAGGUGCGAAAGCGUGGGGAGCAAACAGGAUUAGAUACCCCCGUAGUC
rnacentral:rRNA from 1 species